UAUUUCAAUAUUUAAUCAUAUUAUGAAAUUCGAAGGUACAUUGUUUAAAAAACUAUGGCAGUUAGAAAACUAUGGCAGUUGAAAGUCGGUGUAAAAGAGGCUGAGUUCGAGGUUUUUUUAACAUACGAAAUGGAAGGGCAAUUGCCCCUGCAGCGCCAAUAACAUUCCAUUGUUUAAAAAAUAGGUUAUUGUCUUCCUCUCCAUAUAAAAAAGGUUUGCACCGCAGCUAUUUAUGAACAGCCUGAUACGAUUCUUCGUUGAAGGUCCUUCUUAAAUGAUUUGUUUUUGGUGGAACUACUUAUGUCAAAAAGAUAACAUUGUCGGUUAAACUGAUAAAUGGUCCUUCUUGUGUUUAUAGAAUACCUUAAAUGAUUCUUUGUUGAAGGUCCAUCUUAAAUGUGUUGCGUUUGGUUGAAAUACGUGCAGUUGAAGGAAAACAUUGCUGUAUAAACUGAUAAAUGAUCCUUUCUUGUGUUUAUAGAAAGCUUUAAAUGAUUCUUCGUUUAAGAUACAUCUUAAAUGAAUCGUGUUUGGUCGAACUACUUACAGCAAAAAGAAAACAUGGCUGGUUUAACUGAUAAAUGUACAUUUCUUGUGUUUAUAGAAAACAUUAAAAAUUCUUUCUUAAAAGUCCAUCUAAAAUAUUUUGUAUUUGAUGGAAGUACUUGCGGCAAAAAGAAAUCGUGGCUUGUUUAAUUUAUAUAUGGUCCUUUCUUGUGUUUAUAUAAAACUUUAAAUGUUUUUUCCUUCAAGGUCGAUCGUAAUUGAAUUGUGUUUGAUCGAACUUUUGACAGUGAAAAGAAAACAUGGCAAGUUAAACUGAUAAAUGGUCCUUCUUGUGUUUAUACAAAAUCUUCAAUGAUUUGUCGUUAAAGGGUCCAUCUUACAAGUGAUGCGUUUGGUCCAAAUCCGUGCUGUAAAAGGACAACAGGGCUGUUUGAACUCGUAUAGGUCCUUCAUUGUGUUUAUAAAAUGCUUUAAAUAAUUUUUUGCUUAAAUUCCAACUUAAAUGAAGUGUCGAACUUUUUGGUCGAACUAAUUACGGUGAAAAGAAAAUAUAGCCCGUUAGACUAAUAAAUGGUCAAUUCUUGUAUUUUUAAAAAGCCUGGAAUGAUUCUUUGUUAAAAUUCCAUCUUUAAUGAGUUGUGUAUGGUCGAACUACUGACGGCAAAAAGAAAACAUGGUUGGUUAAGCUGAUGAAUGGUCCUUUCUUGUCUUUAUUUAAAACCUUUUAAUGAUUCUUCCUUUAAGUUCCAUUUUAAAUGUAUUGCGUUUGGUCCAAAUAUGUGCGGUGGAAAGAAACAUGGCUGGUUAAACUGAUAAAUGGUCCUUCUUCUGUUUAUAGAAUAUCUUAAAUGAUUCUUCGUUAAAGGUCCAUCUUAACUGUGUUGCGCUUGGUCCAAAUAUGUGCGGUGGAAAGAAAACAUGGUUGGUUAAACUGAUAAAUGGUCCUUCUUCUGUUUAUAGAAUAUCUUUAAUGAUUCUUCGUUAAAGGUCCAUCUUAACUGUGUUGCGCUUGAUCCAAAUAUGUGCGGUGGAAAGGAAAUAUGGUUGGUUAAACUGAUAAAUGGUCCUUCUUGUGUUUAUAGAAUACCUUAAAUGAUUCUUCGCUAAAGGUCCAUCUUAACAGUGUUGCGUUUGGUCCAAAUAUGUGCGGUGGAAAGAAAACAUGGCUGGUUAACCUGAUAAAUGGUCCUUCUUUUGUUUAUAGAAUACCUUAAAUGAUUCUUCGUUAAAGGUCCAUCUUAACUGUGUUGCGUUUGGUCCAAAUAUGUGCGGUGGAAAUAAAACAUGACUGGUUAAACUGAUAAAUGGCCCUUCUUGUGCUUAUAGAAUACCUUAAAUGAUUCUUCGUUUAAGGUCCAUCUUAACUGUGUUGCGUUUGGUCCAAAUAUGUGCGGUGGAAAUAAAACAUGACUGGUUAAAUUCAUAAAUGGUCCUUCUUGUGUUCAUAGAAUAUGUUAAAUGAUUCUUCGUUAAAGGUCCAUCUCAAAUGAAUUUUUUUGUGGAACGACUUAUUGCAAAAAGAAAACAUGGUCGGUUAAACUGAUAAAUGGUCCUUGCUUCUCUUUAAAGAAGAACAUUAAAUAAUUUUUCGUUAAAGUUCCAUCUUGAAUGAAUUGUGUUUGGUCAAACUAUUUACGGUGAAAAGAAAACAUGGUUAGUUAAAUUGAUGAAAGUUCCUUCUUGUGUUUAUAGAAUACUUUAAAUGAUUUUUCGUUAGAGGUCUGUCUUAAAUGAAUUUUUUUUGUCCAACGAUUUACGGCAUAAAGAAAACAUGGUCGGUAAAACUGGUAAAUAGUCCUUUCCUGUGUUUAUGGAAUACCUUAAAUGAUUCUUCGUCAAAGGUCCAUCUUAACUGUGCUGGGUUUGGUCCGAAUAUGUGCGGUGGAAAGAAACAUGGCUGGUUAAACUGAUAAAUGGUCCUUCUUCUGUUUAUAGAAUAUCUUAAAUGAUUCUUCUUUAAAGGUCCAUCUUAACUGUGUUGCGCUUGGUCCAAAUAUGUGCGGUGGAAAGAAAACAUGGUUGGUUAAACUGAUAAAUGGUCCUUCUUCUGUUUAUAGAAUAUCUUUAAUGAUUCUUCGUUAAAGGUCCAUCUUAACUGUGUUGCGCUUGGUCCAAAUAUGUGCGUUGGAAAGAAAACAUGGUUGGCUAAACUGAUAAAUGGUACUUCUUGUGUUCAUAGAAUACCUUAAAUGAUUCUUCGUUCAAGGUCCAUCCUAAUUGAAUUUUUUGGUGGAACGACUUAUGGCAAAAAGAAAACAUGGUCUGUUAAACUUAUAAAUGGUCCUUGCUUGUGUUUAAAGAAGAAUAUUAAAUAAUUCUUCGUUAAAGUUCCAUCUUGAAUAAGUUGUGUUUGGUCAAACUACUUACGGUGUUGUUUUUUGUCGAAAUAUGUUAAUUGAAUACAACACUGGGCUUGUCAAACUGUUGAAUGCCCUCUCCCUGUAGUGGAAAAUAUGAGUUUAUACUUUUUUCUUUUUUAAAGGGCCAUGUUUGGUCAACAUUUGUUUGAUGAAGGGAAAAAAGGACUUUUUCAUUUAACAAUUUUUUUGUUUAAAAAUUUGCAUAAAUUUUCGAAAUGUUGAUUGAUGAAAAGUUCUUUAUAAAAGAGGAAUUGAAUUCUGAUAAUAGAUAAAUUAUAUAUUUGGUUAUAUAUCUGAAAACUAUAAAUUAUUUUUAGAUUCCAAGCAGCAGCAAUUUUGAAGUUAACUUGAUAAAGUAAAAAAUUUAAGAAAAUAUUAGUCUAGCUAUAAAUUUCUGCCUAAGUAUCCAUUGACAAAAGUUUUCAAAGAACAAUGAAUCUAACUUCUUUUAAGAGUUCUUUUUAAGCAUUUGGCUGCCAAGACCCUUCAACUCAAAAUGUGGUAAUGUAACCAACUCAAGUGGUAAUCAUUAUGGGUAUUUUCUUAUAUAUAUUAUAUUAUAUCAGAUUAUGAUCAUUUAUCGUUGAAAUUCAAACAGAUAUCUUGAAAUUGUAGAACUCUAACGGAAAGUAAACGCUUUUCAUAGUACUUGAUAGAAUAUUUUCCAAUGAAACCUGGACACAUAUCUUAUUAAAGGUGAUAGUUAUUCGUGAUUUUAAUGUUGCUGUGAAAGUAGAAAUAUUUCUGUUUAGUAAGAUAAAGAGCUAGGAGAAAAAAUUCAACUUGUUAAUCGCCAGAACUAGAACAACUUUAAUUGCAAUCUUUGUCCUCCAUGUAAAGCAGAUUUGCCAACAGAUAUGAUAUUUCUUAAAAAAACUUCUUAUUCAUGCAUACCAUAGAGCUGGACGCCGUGGCGAGUUGACUGGAGACAGCUUUAAAAGGGCAAAAUGACAAUUCUUGUUGCCAACGAAGCUAUAGAGCCAACAGACGAUAAUUCAAUGGAGAUACAUGCUGUUUAGCUGAAUAGUCGACAAAGAUCGAUAUGAAAAAUAUGAAUCUUUGGCUCAUUGCAGCAUUCUAGGAGAAAACUGCUAAAGCCACAAGGAGUAGGUGAGUUUGUUUCGAUCGCACUUUCUAAACAGUUAUUUGAAUAUAUUCAUAUCGUGUUUAUUAUGCUCAAUAUUCCACCCGAGGCCGACGUGUGAAAAAGGCAAUAAUUCAGAGAUUUCAAGUUACAAAAAAAGCAGACUAAAAUUAUCUGAU